UAAUUUAUGUUAAAGUAACCUUAUUGGUCAAAUAUAAUAAAAAAAGUCUACAAAAUGAAUAUGGAUUUAAUUGACAAUUUUUUUUUAAAUUUCUUCUUAAUUUGAAUUUUUUUAAAAAUAAUGUAAACUUGUUGUAAUAAGUUUUUGAAAAUGGGGUAGGUUUAUAAAAUUUGUAGAGUGGAAUAUCACCACCUGAAUGUAAAUGCAUUCGUCAAAGGGGUAAAUUUUGGUUUAAUCCUCUCCUCAAUUAACUAUUUCAAAUCACUCGUUCACUUUGAAAACUUCAAGUUGCCCCUAUUUUUGUUCAAAAGAUAAAAAAAAAUAGGGUUCAAAUGAUGAUUUUUUUUUCUUCUCAACAAAAUAAAAUGGGAAUAAAUUGAGGUUUUUAAAAGAAAGGGGUGAUUUAAAAAUAGUCAAUUUAUGAGGGGAUAAUUCAAAAUUAACGAUUUACAAAGAGUUUGGUCUUAAUUUAAUAAAUAUCCAAUUAACUCUUUUUGUUUUUAUCAUUAUAUUUUUGUUUUAGUAUUUUCUUUGACUUACCAAUCAUGAAUAAAUUCUAGUGAGAUAGAGGAUUAAAAAAUCAAUUUCUUACUAUUAUAUGAACGUGGGAAUUCUUGAAUAAUUUCUUUGUGAGAUGUUAAUUAAUUAAUUUAUUUUAUUUAAAAGGUAGAAGGUGAGCAAAAUUUAUAAAAGAAAAAAAUCAUAACUGAACAAGAGAGAGGAAUUAUAAUUUACAAAUUAACAACUCUUUUAUUCAAAACAAGUACUUGUUGAUACUAGCAUCCAGAAUAUACAUCUCAAUCACAACCCACGGAUUGUUAACCACUGCCAAAUACUCAACUCACAACUUAAAAGUAAAAUGACAAUGCAAGCUUCCAUUAGAGCAGCUUUUGUAAUCAAAACAAUGGAAUCUCAUCAUCCGUCAAUCGUUUCCUAGGGCAUGGUCAUCAGUGAAGAAAAUCAUUUAGCAUUUGAGCACCAUGGUCCUACAAAGCUUCAGUAGUGAGCUACAGGGGCUUAAACAAAAGUCAGUACAUGAAAGAAGACGUGCUGGAAGAAACCAAGCAUUAACCCCAUAGAGGCAUUCCAUGGCAUGGAUUGUAACUUAUAAGUCUGGUAAAUCGCUGAUCCGUUGAUGGUGUUAUGAGUACUCAAAUAAAUGAUUGCUUUUCUCAACGGUGGAAUGUUUUUUAAACAUCAAUGUAUUUUUUGCUCUAAGUAAGGCACACUUAUCUUUACUAAUAAAUGUAAAAUUUGGUAGAGGAAAAAAUAGUUGUAAUUCCAUAACUAUUUUGUAAAUCUUUUGCCAGAAUUUCGUGUAGUCUAGAGAAAAGUUGGAGCAAGUAAAGAGCUCAAGAGCCUUUUUUUUUUCCUUUGCUUUCUGAGAAGAAGAGGAGACAGCGAAUUUGAUUUUAUAUUGAAUAUCAGAGUCUAGUGCCAUAAAUAUGUGAUUUGAAGAAUCCAUUUCUCAGAUUUUCUCCAUUAAAUUUAAACUUAAGAGAAAGAUAUGGCGGCGAUGCUCCGUCAUAAGGUAUGAUAGAACACCAUACAAACCGAUUCAAGUAAAAUAAAAAUGAGUAUUUAAUUUUACAAGGUAAGCUUAAGGAUAAGACUAAUCAACCUCCUGAAC
rnacentral:lncRNA from 1 species